rnacentral:rRNA from 1 species
UACGUAGGGGGCAAGCGUUGUCCGGAUUUAUUGGGCGUAAAGAGCGUGUAGGCGGCUUUACAGGUCCGUUGUGAAAACUGGAGGCUCAACCUCCAGACGUCGACGGAAACCGUGUGGCUAGAGUCCGGAAGAGGAGAGUGGAAUUCCUGGUGUAGCGGUGAAAUGCGCAGAUAUCAGGAAGAACACCAAUGGCGAAGGCAGCUCUCUGGGACGGUACUGACGCUGAGACGCGAAAGCGUGGGGAGCGAACAGG